rnacentral:rRNA from 1 species
CAGUCGCCGCGGGAAUACGGAGGGUGCAAGCGUUAAUCGGAAUUACUGGGCGUAAAGCGCACGCAGGCGGUUUGUUAAGUCAGAUGUGAAAUCCCCGAGCUUAACUUGGGAACUGCAUUUGAAACUGGCAAGCUAGAGUCUUGUAGAGGGGGGUAGAAUUCCAGGUGUAGCGGUGAAAUGCGUAGAGAUCUGGAGGAAUACCGGUGGCGAAGGCGGCCCCCUGGACAAAGACUGACGCUCAGGUGCGAAAGCGUGGGGAGCAAACAGGAUUAGAUACCCCUGUAGUCCCUGUCUCUUAUAC